UUCCUUUCAUAGAUUCGGAGCUUCUGAGUCUGCAGGACGCAGGCCGGCACCACCCAUUCAGGGCAGCUGAGGCAUGAUCUGUGGUGCCCAGCCCUGAUCCCGCCUGCUCACCACUAGAUUAAAGCGACCUGUGUGAACAGCUGUGACAAGGCAGGCCUCUGCUCUGUGGCAACAUCUCUGCUGCUAUCUACUUCAUCUAUCAUCUAAUAACCCAUCCAUUCAUCUUUAGUAUAUAUGAGUUCAUCUAUGGAGAAACAUGUAAAGCAUUGGAGAUGACAAAAUAAACGGCUGAAGCUUGAUGACAGCGGAGAAUGGAGCACUGGGCUGUUUCUCCUCCCCUCGCUAUUACUACAGGUGUCCCAGGUUCACCACAGAUGAAUGACACCAUUGUAACACAGCAGAGGGAGAAGAACCUCUGUCUUUCGAAACCAAAGCAACACUCUCGUCUGGUACGAGCUGUUCCUGGACCGCCUUGGAGAAAUCCAGAAGACACCAGCGAAAAUGACAGAAGUUUCGAAGAGGAGUAGAGAGGAGCGCGGCAGCUGCAGUGUGUGAGGAGGAUGUGGGUGGUGAGACAUUUCACUUGAGCAUGAGUGCGCUGACAUUUUAAUGGAAUCUAUAAUACAUGCGAAGUGGGUCACUGGAUGGGUGUCCUAUUUCCACACCACAAGGCCCAAGGUCCCCCCACUGUCUCUCCCCCUGUCAGCUGCUCUGCUUUCCACUUGUUUUUGCGAAUAAUUGCACUAAUAAGAGAUAUGUGGACGACGGAGAAUAAUAACCCCAGUCAUCAAAAUAAAACGUUGGUGUUUAAAGCGUCUGCCAACAACAGAUGCCUUCUCAUUUGUGCGUACCAUAUGUAUCAUACAGCAGGGUGAGACUGCUGACAGGUCAGCGACCACUAUUUGCAGCAACCUUUCAACAUGUGUAAGUGUGAAACCACUGGAUAGUUUUAACGAGAUGUUCAGAUAUUUUGUU